UAUGGGUUAAGGAUUUAAUUUCAUGAUGAAUUUGUGUGGGUGGGAUCGGGAUUUACUGGAAGUAUUCCUGGGGAAUUUUGCGCUGCUCAUUUAGUUGUUAAUUGUUUCUGUUUCAUUUGUUCUUUGCUCACUCAACCCCAAGGAGAAAAGAACAAAAUCCCUAAACAUAAGCGUUUCUCCUCAGCCGUCUACAUAGCUAAAACCCCUUUCUUUUCUGUUCCCAUUUAAACCCUAAAUUCCUAACAGCAAAAUCUAAGCAACAAAGCAAUGGCAGAGGGGGCAGGAGAAGAAAAGAAGAAAUUUUCAAUCUGGGAUUUGCCAGAUGUGCCAAUGGGUCAACUUCCACCGCAUCUUGAACUCCAACGAAGUCGUGUUUCAUGCAAUAAGGACGCCCCUAUCCAUACUGAGAGUAUUCAAUAUUCUGGCGCUUAUGCAUCGAUGGGAAUUGAUAAUAGUUCACGACUUGAUCGAUUCUCUAACAACUUUAGAGUUGAAGUGGUUCGACUCAAUGAAGAUGACAUGGAGUUUGAUAUGAUCGUUAUUGAUGCAGCUAUAGCCAAUUCAUUCAGGAGGAUCCUUAUAGCUGAGGUCUGUAACUUUUUGGUCUACCUCUUUUCAGUGCUAACAUAUGCUAUGUUAAUGACAUUAUUGCAUGCUAUCAUAUGCUAGCUAUGUUAGCUUGCAGCAUAAUGUCUGUGCUGGUACUGAUAGAACUGAUUAUACUUGCUGCUUCCUACAAUGGCAAUUGAAAAAGUUCUCAUUGCAAACAAAACAUCAAUAAUCCAAGAUGAAGUUCUUGCUCAUAGGUUGGGCCUCGUUCCAAUCCGUGUUGACCCAAGGCUUUUUGAUUAUCUUUCAGAAAAUGAUCAGCCAAAUGAAAAGAACACCAUUGUUUCCAAACUCCAUGUUCAGUGUAAAAGAGGUAGUCCACGUAUUACAGGUGACAAAAAUAUCUAGUGUAUGAACAUGCGGUAGAAGACAUAAUGUGGAAUAACAACAUCCAAGAGCAAAAUCAGAACACAGAGGCUGUGACUGUUGAACAUGAUGCUUCUUCAAUUAUUAAAUCUUCUAGGCUUGUCGCAUCAAUGACAACGGCGGAUGCAUUAGAGGAACUUCAGAGUUACAAAGAGAUGAAAAACUUGUUGCUUAGUGAAGGUGGUAAGUCUUGCAUAUCUUCCAAUUUAACCUCUGGGGCUAAACAUUCUGGCAAAGGUACAUGAGAAUGAUCAACUUAUUUGAUAUUGGUAUAGUUGCACAUAUGUACUGGUUUGAAAGACUACUACUACAUGCUAUAUAGCUGAAGCCAUUUUCCUCUUUUUGUGAUCAUAGGAGUAUAUAUAUACAAUAUAUGUGUUUUUGGUUAAGAUUUAUGUUAACAACAGAAGGGUUAUCUGUUGGCCCCGAACUUUGUAAAAAGCAUUUUUGUCUCUGAUCCUACAUAACAUAAUUGCACAUAAUUUUAGAUGUUGGGUAAGGGUUGCGCAUGCUUUGAUAUACAGGCUUGCUGAUGCUGUCAUUUCUGUUAUUUUGCUUUUCUCCUUUGUUUCCCCUCCCACAUAUAUAUUUACCUAUUUUAGAAGGGUUUUUUGUAAAAGUUAUAUUUGAAGUAUGAUAACCUGAUAUAUUUGGAAGAUUAUAAUUCUAUAGGCAUAGUAAUUUAUUUGACCCUCCAAUAACAUUUUAGCUUUCAAUUAGACUUUUUAUACCCGAGUAUGCUGUAAGCCUCCAAUUCUUACUUGGUUAUCUGACUAGAAAUUAAGACUAGAGAAUCGGGUGUCUUAGAUUUAAUUUGACUAAUGCAUUCUGUUCCUUGUUCUAAUGUGCAGGGGUGAUUUGAUCCCUCUUGUAGUUAAGUCCUUGAAGAAUCCUAGGUAUUGUAAAGAUACUCACUGAACAUUUAUAAUUUACAAUUAUGGUGGGGGAUUUUUACUGCAAACAAAGGGUCAAAAUUUAAAGAAGAUUGCAUGAAAACCAUAUGGCAACGAGUGGACUGUGAGAGAUCCUAUAAAAGUGUGAGAGACGGAUUCGUUUUUGUGAUAAGGCAAUAAAGAGAGUAGGUCCAAAGCCAGAAAAAGAAAAAAAAAUGAUGAGUAAUUAUUUCACCUAUAUACUCAACUCAUUAAUGAUUAUUUUGAUGUAUAAUAUUUUAUAACUUUUUUUUUCCUUAUUUUAUCUGGAAGGAAGUCCAUUUUUUUUCCAGUCUUAAUCAGGGUCCAUGGCCCCUUGGUUAAAUGGGAAAUUUUCAUUUUUAGUCUCUCCUAAAUAUUAAUAUUGUAAAUUUAAGCCUUUUACCCCUUGGAUAAAUGGAAAAAUUAUAUUUUUGGCUGCUCCUAAAAUUUUUUAGCUUUAGCUCCCUCAUACAAAGUUCAUGGCUUCGUCCCUGUUCUGCAGAAUACUGUACAUGGAGUUUGUCUGAAAAUAGAACAGCAUAAUUAGGAAGUCAUUAUAUGCUUAAUGUGCUAGUAAUUUGUUGGUAAGUAGAUGAAGUUUCUGUUUAUUUGAACUUUGAUUUUACUUUAUGCUAAAUGUUGGUAGGGCAUAUACUAGUUGAUGUACAGGCUCGUGACUGGUAGCAUGCCCGCAUUUGUCUACAUGUAUUAUGUGCCUGUCAAUUAUUAUACAUGGUUUAAUCAAGCUCAUAACUAGUUGAUGUAAAAAAUUCAUUUGAUUAUGCUGUGCUGGGUGGAUCUUCUAAAAUUGCUGCCAUUCUUGUUACAUAUCCAUUUCAGGUAUGCAUCCUUUAUAAUUGGUGUGAAGUCUUUGUAUAACCUCAUUUUUUCUUCGUUGGCUGGUCAUGAUGCCUUAUGAGGUGUGCAGAAAUUUUUUUUCAAGUUAUUCGAACUCGAUCACAGUUGUCGCUAAUAAAAGAAGUUGGAACUAGUUUAUCCAUCUACUAGCACGUUUAAAGAAUUAGAGCUAUUGCAUGUCUUGUUCCUAUUGGACUCUGCAUCUGGAACCCAUGUGAGAGCUACAAAAUGAUAAAAGUGUUGAUGGUGGAUUUGACAACAAUGAACUAGAAUAUGAAGAAACUCACAAAAUAGUCAUUUUGCCUAGCUGCUUGAAAUCUUCCUUUUCCAUCUGUGGAGUUGCCUGAGAAGGUAAGGUUGGCAGUUGAUGCUAUUUUAAUGGCUGAGGGUGCUGAACAGAAAGGGCAUAUGGGUAUUAAGGGUUUAACGAAGCUUCUAGCAGACAAUGCGCCAAAGGCCAUGAAGGAACAAAAAUUAGAGAGCUAUUUUGGCCGCAAGAUUGCCAUGUAGUUACUCAAAGAAGGCAGAUGCUACUGAGGAUUUGCAAGAAGCCAUGGAGGUAUUUUUCUUUGGUCAAACAUGGAGUGAUAAGUAAAGUUUUCUUUUGUUGUUUCACCACUACGAGGUGCUGUUGUUUUUAUUAUUAGACUGGAAAUAAGGAGGACAUUGAAAUAAGGUAGCCAAAAUUUUGUCACCGGUCAGUAAUAGAUACUUGUAGAGUUCAAUCAAUUCAACGCCGCAAGAAAACGGAAGCGUAUGUAUAAUAACUGUAUUUGUAGUACUGAUUUUUGUUAUAUAAUAAUGAAAGGAAUAUAUGUUCUUUUCCCGUAUAAUGAAA